GGAAAAAAUCCGCUGCUUGGAACCUGCUAAAUGAGUCAUGAUUUCGCGUAAAAUGUGUUUUUUCAUGUUAUAAAUAUACACCACAAAAAAAGGUCAUAAUUUCAUGACUCAUGUUGCCGUAACGUCACCUUGGCGUUACGUUUUUAAUAUUUAUUGACAAAAAUUUAUAAGUUAAGUCAUGAUGUCAUGCCCAUGAAUACCAGAACUAUUAACUAGAUUUAUAAAACCAGAAGCGGUAUUCAUAGAACUUGUAGUUGUAAUUUAUGGUUCCAGUUUUAUUAGCGAAAUUUGAUAAGUCGGUUCAUAUUAUCAUGAAGUACGUACUCAAACUAUGAACUAAAUUUAUGAAAGCUUGAGCAUUACUCAUGGUGCAAGUAUUUGUCAUUUAUGGUACUGGAUCGAUUUGCGAAAAAUGGUAGUACUGGUCAUGUUAUCAUAAAGCAUGUUCUAAAUUUAUUACCUAAUAUAAAAACAUAAGCAGUAUGCAUGAUUCUAGUAUUUGUAAUUUAUACUAUCGGAUUAAUUGGUGCAAAGUGGCAUUUAAGGUCAUGUUAUCGUGAAGCACGCACUCUGAAAUCAUGAACAAGGUUCCUGAAUAUUGAAGUAAUUUUUAUGAUUCUGGUAUUUGUCAAUAUUUAUUCAUCAUUGUGCCUUCAACCUACUCAAUAGCCCGCAGUAAAUCGCGGGUGCUUUUGGGUAGAUCUACCGCUGGGAUUUUGAACAGAUGAGCCUGCAAGAACAUCCAGAGGGGCUUGCAGUCUGGUGCAUA